UACGUAGGGCGCAGCGUUGUCCGGAAUAUUGGGCGUAAAGAGCUCGUAGGCGGCCUGUUGCGUCCGCUGUGAAAGCCCGGGGCUUAACCCCGGGUCGCAGUGGAUACGGGCAGGCUAGAGGUAGGUAGGGGAGAAUGGAAUUCCCGGUGUAGCGGUGAAAUGCGCAGAUAUCGGGAGGAACACCGGUGGCGAAGGCGGUUCUCUGGGCCUUACCUGACGCUGAGGAGCGAAAGCGUGGGGAGCGAAACAGGG
rnacentral:rRNA from 1 species